ACCGCGAUAACUCCGCCCCCGCCUCCUCGCUCCUCCCCCGCUGCCAUAGCCCGCCGCCUCCUCGCUCCUCCUCGCCGCCCGCCCCACGAAUCCCCGCGCCUCCUAGCUUCUCCUCCGCGCCCGCGAAUCCCCGCCGCCUCCUCGCUCCGCGCGCAUCCUCCCUCCUCGCGACGGGGCAGCGAGGUCGUCCCCUUCCGCUGCCACCCCCGCUGCCCACGCCGGAGACGAGGUCGUCCCCAGCCACCGCCGGAGCCGUGGUCUUCCCCGGAGCCGACGUCGUCCCCAGUUGCCGCCGGAGCCGAGUUCUUCCCCAUCCGCAUUGGAUCUGAAUGCACCACAUAUCUUCCCCUCUGGAAAUUAUUAUUUUUGGAUGAAAUUGACGGAAUACCAAUGGCUAUUGCAACAAGUCCCUUCAGCGACAUCUGGAAACCUAGGAUCUCACCUACAAAAAUAGAUGCAAGGGGUACUCAUUCUUUUGAUUUUGUCCAGAUGGACAGCUCCAGUCCAUAACAUUCUAUCUACACAGUCAACGACUCAGUUAAUAAUAAAACUGAAAAAAUGUUCUCUUUUAUUUUUAAAUAAGAUUUUCACACAACCUGAAAGUAAGAUAUCAAAGGAGCACUGGCCUGAUAUAAAUGAUUUUUUUCUGACGAAUGUGGACUACCAAUGUAAUGCACAUGCCUAAGAUAUUUAAGGUUUUCUUUUUUCUGCAGUACUUAAAGACUUGUAUUUUGUAAUAUUGUAGGUUAAAUCUCAACUUCUGAUGUAUCUCAAGUGUAAAUAUGGUCAUUGUCAUAUUGCUAAUAUUUUGGAUUUAAUCAAAUAAAUGAUGACCAUUGCUGCCC
rnacentral:lncRNA from 1 species